UUCUGUCAUUUAUUUCCUUUCUUUAACUUUUGUCCCUCUUUUCACUCAUACCAUCUCCUGUCCAAUCUCUUGCAAUGUAUUUGGUCAGAUCACUUUGGAAGAUCUUGACAGUGAUGAUGAGACUCCACAACACCAGAAGAAGGAAUCUGUCCUCACCCUAAUGAACCCAACUGCCUUGGAUUAUGCCCAAAGGUGUGAGGGCUAUAAGAAACUCACAAGGACUGUGAUGGACUCUGUCUUCACUGUGGAGGAGAUGGCAACGUGCUCCGUCACGGGGGAAAAAAGGGAUUGUGGGGGAAAAAAAAAAAGACAGCGGCUUGAUGUGGACAAAGUGAAGUCAGUGAUUGUUUCUUACAGAUCAUGUCAAAAGUGUUCACAAGGGUGUUGGGGACACUGAAAUCAAGGCCUGCAUGGCGCAAAAAUUAAAAGACAUCCGGAGACGAGCAGAGAAGGAAAAAUGGUAACCAA